AUUGAAUGCUGGCGGCAGGCUUAACACAUGCAAGUCGAGCGAGCGGCGGACGGGCGAGUAAGGUCGGGGAAACUGCCUGAUGGAGGGGGAUAACUACGGGAAACGGUAGCUAAUACCGCAUAACAUCAGAUGUGCCCAGAGGGGUUUAGCUAGUAGGUGGGGGAAUGGCUCACCUAGGCGACGAUCCCUAGCUGGUCUGAGAGGAUGACCAGCCACACUGGAACUGAGACACGGUCCAGACUCCUACGGGAGGCAGCAGUGGGGAAUAUUGGACAAUGGGCGCAAGCCUGAUGCAGCCAUGCCGCGUGUGUGAAGAAGGCCUUCGGGUUGUAAAGCACUUUCGUCGGGGAGGCGUUACUCGCCGAAGAAGCACCGGCUAACUCCGUGCCAGCAGCCGCGGUAAUAC
rnacentral:rRNA from 1 species